rnacentral:rRNA from 1 species
AUUGAACGCUGGCGGCAGGCCUAACACAUGCAAGUCGAACGAGUGGCGGACGGGUGAGUAAUGUCUGGGCAACUGCCUGAUGGAUGGGGAUAACUACUGGAAACGGUAGCUAAUACCGCAUACCAUCAGAUGUGCCCAGAUGGGCUUAGCUUGUGGGUGGGGUAACGGCGCACCAAGGCGACGAUCCCUAGCUGGUCUGAGAGGAUGACCAGCAACACGGGAACUGAGACACGGUCGAGACUCCGACGGGAGGCAGCAGUGGGGAAUAUUGCACAAGGGGCGCAAGCCUGAGGCAGCCAGGCCGCGUGUAUGAAGAAGGCCGUCGGGUUGUAAGUACUUUCAGCGGGGAGGCGUUACCCGCAGAAGAAGCACCGGCUAACUCUGUGCCAGCAGCGCGGUAAUUC